CGGGAGUGACCGUCGGGGGGACAGCGCCGGCUGGCCCUGGCUGCGGGGCACAAAGUAACUUUGGAGACCUUCAGUACCAUACAAGGCUUUGGAAGCAGAAUGAUUCAUAUCAACACUGUUUUACGGUAUACAACUUUCAUCACUGCCAAACACUUUUUCAAGAAACAUUUCAACUUAAAACUGUCCUGAAUCUUUGCCAUUGGAGCUAACCCCUUAAGGGAAGAGGCUGAGCCAAACUAAUGCAGUUUUUACUUUGAAGCACUAAUGAGUGAUGAUUAACAGGUAAGUUUGAUCUAUACAUCUCCUGGAACUGCAUCUGCUAGUGCCUGAGGAUAGACUGCAAGCAAACCAAGAGAGAUAAGCAUUCACAAUGCGGAACCCAGCAAGCACUGUUUGGAACAGGUUCUUUGCAAACACAGCCCCAGAAGGUGUCAUCUGUGCUUACCCGCUGAAGCAGAUCAGCUACCUGAGGAUCCUAAGUCUGCAGUAAAGAAAAUAUGCUGGGCUGCACUGUGGCAGCCCUGCUAUGCCCUGUAUCAGAUAAUGGACUUCUACGAAUUGCUGUUGAUUUUGAAGAAAACUUGAGAAUAUUGGAAGAAAUCUUCAAGGACUCUAAGACAACAGCCAUUAACAGAACAAACCCACUUUGAUCAAUAUUUUAACCGAAGUUUCUCCACUUAAGAGGAAACCAAUCUCUCAGAUCACUAAGAAUUAAACAGGCAAUUUUCAUGACUGAUACUAAAUAAAAAAUUUUGUUAUCUACCAAUAAAUGUUUACCAUAGCUGAGUACAGGUUGUUUAGCUUUAACCAAUAUAAG